GAGUUUGAUCGUGGCUCAGGACGAACGCUGGCGGCGUGCCUAAUACAUGCAAGUCGAGCGGACCACAAAGAAGCUUGCUUCUGAGUGGUUAGCGGCGGACGGGUGAGUAACACGUGGGCAACCUGCCCUGCAGACUGGGAUAACUUCGGGAAACCGGAGCUAAUACCGGAUAACACUAAGAACCGCAUGGUUCUUGGUUGAAAGAUGGCUUCGGCUAUCACUGCAGGAUGGGCCCGCGGCGCAUUAGCUAGUUGGUGAGGUAACGGCUCACCAAGGCGACGAUGCGUAGCCGACCUGAGAGGGUGAUCGGCCACACUGGGACUGAGACACGGCCCAGACUCCUACGGGAGGCAGCAGUAGGGAAUCUUCCGCAAUGGACGAAAGUCUGACGGAGCGACGCCGCGUGAGCGAAGAAGGUCUUCGGAUCGUAAAGCUCUGUUGUUAGGGAAGAACAAGUACCG
rnacentral:rRNA from 1 species